rfam:Picea glauca, whole genome shotgun sequence.
UACCUGGUUGAUCCUGCCAGUAGUCAUAUGCUUGUCUCAAAGAUUAAGCCAUGCAUGUCUAAGUAUGAACUAAUUCAGACUGUGAAACUGCUGAUGGAUCAUUAAAUUGGUUAUAGUUUCUUUGAUAGAAACCUACUACUCGAAUAACCGUAGUAAUUCUAGAGCUAAUACAUGCACCAAGUCCUGACUCUUUGUAAGGGAUGGAUUUAUUAGAUAAAAGGCUAGCGCAGGCUUUCAUUCUUCUCUGGUGAAUCAUGAUAACUCGACAGAUCGCACAACCCUUGUGUUGGUGAUGCUUCAUUCAAAUUUCUUCCCUAUCAACUUUCGAUGGUAGGAUAGAGGCCUACCAUGGUGGUGAUAGGUGAUGGAGAAUUAGGGUUCGAUUCCAGAGAGGGAGCCUGAGAAACUGCUACCACGUCCAAGGAAGGUAGUAGGCAUGCAAAUUACCCAAUCCUGACAUGGGGAGGUAGUGACAAUAAAUAACAAUACUGGGCUCAUCGAGUCUAGUAAUUGGAAUGAGGACAAUAUAAAUCCCUUAACGAGGAUCCAUUAAAGGGCCAACAGCUAUGGUAAUUCCAGCUCCAAUAGCAUAUAUUUAAGUUGUUGCAGUUAAAAAUAUCAUAGUUGGAUCUUGGGUUGUAAAGGUUGGUCCGCCUACUCAGUGUGCACCUGCCCUUCCGUCUCUUUUGCCGGCAGCAUGCUCCUAUCCUUAAUUGGCUAGGUCGCGGUUCUAACAUUGUUACUUUGAAAAAAUUAGAGUGAUCAAAGAAAGAUUAUGCUCUGAAUACAUUAGCAUGGAAUAACAUGAUAGGAGUUUGUUCCUAUUGUGUUGGCCUUCGGGAUCAGAGUAAUGAUUAAUAGGGACUAUCGAGGGCAUUUGUAUUUCAUUGUCAGAGGUGAAAUUCUUGGAUUUAUGAAAGACAAACCACUGUGAAAGAAUUUUCCAAGGAUGUUUUCAUUAAUCAAGAAGGAAAGUUGGGGGCUCGAGGAUGAUCAGAUACUGUCCUAGUCUCAACCAUAAACGAUGUCGACCAGGGAUCGACAAAUGUUUCUCUAAGAACUCUGCCAUCACCUUCUAAGAAAUCAAAGUGUUGGGGUUCCAGGGGGAGUAUGGUCGCAAGGCUAAAACUUAAAGGAAUUGAUGGAAGGGAACCUCCAAGAGUGGAGCCUGCGGAUUAAUUUGACUCAACACGGGAAACCUUACCAGGUCUAGACAUAGUAAGGAUUGACAGAUUGAGAGCUCUUUCUUGAUUCUAUGGGUGGUGGUGCAUGGUCGUUCUUAGUUGGUGGAGCGAUUUGUUUGGUUAAUUCCGAUAAUGAAUGAGACCUCAACUUGCUAACUAGUUACGCAGAGGUUCCCCUUUUCGAUCAGCUUCUUAGAGGGACUAUGGCCAUUUAAGACAUGGAAGUUUGAGGCAAUAACAGGUCUGUGAUUCCCUUAUAUGUUCUAGGCUGCAUACGCGCUACACUGAUGCAGUCAAUGAUUGUUUCUCCCUGGUUCUAGAGGAUCAUGAAAUAUUCUCAAAUUGCAUCAUGAAGGGGAUAGACCAUUGCAAUUAUUGGUCUUCAAUGAGGAAUUCCUAGUAAGCACGUGUCAUCAGCUCGUGUUGACUACGUCCCUGCCCUUUGUACACACCGCCCAUUGCUCCUACCUAUUGAAUGAUCCGAUGAAAUGUUCAGAUCGCAUCAAUGAGGGUGGUUCGCCACUGACGAUGUCAUGAGAAUUUCACUAAACCUUAUCAUUUAAAGGAAGGAGAAGUCAUAACAAGGUUACCGUAGGUGAACCUAUGGUAGGAUCAUUG